UGUCCAGUGGCGGAAUCGAACCCACAACGUUCCGCUUACCGGGCAGAUGCCAUGUCCACUAGGCUACCCUGGAC
rnacentral:tRNA from 1 species